ACAGGUUCGGGGCUCGGGGGGGGUUUGGGUUAUUCUUCGUGAGGGACACUUUUCUCCCACUGUUCUUUUCUAUUUCUCUCCAUCUCCAGUGUGAGUGAUUGGAAUCCCCCCCCCCCCCCCCCAUGGUCGCGCGUGUCCAUCCCGUCAUGCGGUCAUACCACCACGCUCUUGGAUCUCCAAGUCCCAGCCAGACCCCCCCAUAUGCCCCAUCAUCUGUUACAAUGGCAACACCACUGCCUGACGCUUCCUCUGUUACCAGUUGCUUGGCCUUGACUGGAAUCCCAUUUCAUGGACCCCCGAGGGCUUGAGUAAUCUGUGCUACUGAGGUCAAAAUAGAUGUGCAGUACAUAGGUGUGUGUUUGCUUGUGUGUUUUGUGUCUGUGUGUGUGUGUGUGUGUGUGUGUGUGUGUGUGUGUGUGUGUGUGUGUGUGUGUGUGUGUGUGUGUGUGUGUGUGUGUGUGUGUGUGUGUGUGUGUGCGUGUCAAGCUCCCCAGUAGUGAGGGGCUCGGCCAGUGUGUGUGUUGGAUGCAGGCCGAUGAACAGCUGUUCAUUUUGGAUUGGUUAUUGUUAUUAUUCAAUAAUUUAUUUUAAAGGGAGAACUAUUACCAAUGUGGAGACGUGUGAACGUGAAAUAACAGAAAAACAAAGUCCAACAACAAACCUUUGCACUUUAUCUGGUUUUAAGGGGCGUGCGAGUAUCGCAGCCAGAUGGGGAGAGAGAGAGGACGCAAGGGCAGCAGGAGGGACAAUGCUGUACCACUUCUGUCUAAUGGGCCACAAAAUGGAACCGCUUCUGUUUAUAUUGCGUGCAGAUAAUAGCCCUUAUGAUCGAGUGCUGUUGUACCUCCUGGAAUGGUCACAUGACCACAGCCUCCAUCGGCCUGGUCGGGAUACACGCGGUGUCGUCUGUGGAGGAUGAGCCCUGUUACGGUUUCGCUUCACCGGUUUGUCUCUGAAGUCUGAAACGAUUCAACACGUUUUUUCACAGCAACGUUACUUUGUUCACCACUGAGUUUGUCUUAACGCGUUUUCCUUUAAUCCCAAUCUCAGUUGUUUCUUUGUAAAGGAGAGACCCGGUAGUCACUCCAUGUGUUUGUUUUGAAUGUAAGACAGGGCAGGGUCUAAUGACUGUUCAUAAAAAACAUCGCUUUGGGUUUGUUAUGGGUUUCUCUGUAUCGGCCACCUUUGCCAUGACUUGGACAAAACGUCACACACGCCGUCUCAUUUUUUAGUGUACAGCAUAUUUAUAAAUGUGUCUUGCAUGGGAUUUGUUUUUCUCUGAUAUGGCCAUGCACUUGUGGUUCAACUGUUGGUAUUGGUAAAUAAUAUACAUGUUUAUUAUUGAUGAUAUGACAUUUAAUAUUGGAACCAUUUUUAUUCCGUUGGGAAACUCUCAAAGUGCUUCAGACAGCCGAGCAAACACACACACACACCAACAAACACACCGACACACACAUACACACACAAACUCACAUACACUAACACCCAUACACGUGGACCAACCACCCACCCACCCACAUCACACACACACACACACACACACACACACACACACACACACACACACACUAACAUCCAUACUCAAACAAAAUAUACAAUGAAUGGCCUUUUAGAAGUAUUUCGUCCUCAUGUCUACGAAGUGGGGAAAUACACAAUAUUCAGAUUGCAUGUCAGACUGCAACUCACAGGUUUGAUGCUGCAGGUGACACAGGUCAUGUCGUGUCACCUAUGUGUGUCGUUUGUCACGACAUGCCGUGCCACACGAUUAUACAAUGACAUCACAUGACCAUGCCUCCAUUAGUGGUUUUUGAUUACUAUUUUAGCAGCAGUUGUGGCCUCAUAUUUAGGUGCUAUAUACAAUACUUGUGCUUUCAGUUCAUGUUUGUGUUUAAUUUUCCAAUCUAGACAAAGGGCCGCAAAGGAAUAAUGGGAGUUCAUUUUAAUAAUGAAAGAUAACGCUCAGAAGCUUUCAUGCAGAUACGGCGUUGGUAAAAAACAGUUGGGCUGCGUCCUAUUUAAGGAAGAACAUGAUGGUGUAGGGCCAAAGUAUUUCCAAAUUAUUGUGUAUCAUGAAGGAUGUCUGCCUUGCCAUUUCCGAAAAUGUUAUUUACAAGAUAUAUAUCCAACAGAUUUUUAAUUUUUUUGAUUCACUGAAUGAACAUCCUUGUGAACAAAAAGCACAUUGAGUUGAUUUGAGCAACGGUUAACCAUUUUCUUUGGUGAGGCCUGUGAGGAUAUGAAAUGUUAUUACGGUACACUGGAAUGCCAUUUAUUUACAGUAUGUGACGCCUGACCUCUCUUUUAAGGGUUCUACCCCUAAAAGAGGUAACUACUGUGUGGGGUUAACAUGCAUAAAAUAAUCUUUCACAACACGAUUGGCUACAAAUGUGAUCACAUGUUUCGGUGAAACACCAGCAAGUGCUUAAGAAACCCCCCCCCCCCAUCUCCCACCUCCCACCCACAGCAACCUCCACUGAAGUGUCCUUACGCAUGGACACAAACCCCCCCACCCCCCCGGUUGGCUCACCUUUUGCUGAUUACAAGUUAAAUCGGUAAUGAUGAUGAUGAAGGGAAGACGUUUAUAGUGCCAUAAUCUUCAGCCUGUUACAUCAGUAUAAUGAUGAUGAGCGCAAUAUUCUGCCUUUGCCGAUGGGAGUGCCAUAGGCCCUUUGUUACCUCUGGGUUACAUGUGAUGUGAAUGAAGCGUUUAGCGCAAGCUUUGCAUACAAGAAACGGAACAGCAGCUGAACGGCACAUACAGGAAUGUUCCAAUGCGUUCUCCGUCAGUCAUUCUCACAAGGUGGAGGAUUUGAAUAUCGGCCUGUUGAGGUUGUGUUUUUUUGUCCUCAUUCAUUAUCAGCUUCUUUCGAUCAGACAUUCAUCAUUUGCCGCUUAACCUAAGUAGAGUGGAACAAAGAUCUAUGCUGUAUGCUGAGAAGAGUGUGUCUCCUCACGCAAACCUGGCCGUACCCCGCCAAAUGAAGGGAUACUACAUACAAAUUCUGUACAACAUCAUAUCGAUUUUAUUACAAAAUUAACUGAAUGUGUCACAAUGAAAUGACAUUUCUUGCAAAAAAGGUCUGUUAUAUCAGUCUAAAUUUAAACUAAUUAAAUACAGUGACUCUUACAUUCCUGCAUGUGCCUUAUCAUAGUAUUUGAUUCGUGUUGUUUUUGGCGAUCCGGAAUGAUUAAUGAUUAUUGAUCAAUGAUUAAUGUUCAAUGAUCCAUUAUCAAUGGUCCAUGGCCUGACCCAAAAAGAGUGCCAGGUCCAAAGCUAUCUUGACAGCUGUACAUCGGACAAAGCUUUCUCAUAAUUUCAGCAUUGUUUUUUCGCUGUUGUUUUGGCUUGGUUUCCUUUAUUUUUAUAUAUAGAUACCGUAUAUCUUUUUCAAUUCACGGAAGUUCAAUUUCUAACCAACUUAAAAAUUGUACCUGAUAUCCUAAACUCAAACUGUCCUAGAAUCAAAAGAAGAGCAAAAUUAAGCUGAUGUCCGAAGUCCGCUGUCCAGAUGUUUUGGAGCCAUUUGGAAUAUGUUUUCCUCGGAAAUAGUGGAUUUUGUGUGAGGGUCAUCAAAGCAUUUAUUGAAACAGUGCCAAAAAUUUGAAUUCAUUUUCAAAUCAAAAACCUGUUGGCAGGUGGUACCUUUGUAAACGUAAACAUUAUUUAAGGAGUUUGCUCAAUGCUCGUUGGACGUACAGUUCAACGAUGUAUUUCCAGAUAUAACGGUAUUUCCGUCUCGAUUACGACACAGGUUUGCUUCGUCACUGUCGUAGUCAGUAUUACUGUUCCUCUUUAUUCUUUCAAAUUGUUGGUGCACUUUUUGUUCUUAUUGUUUGCCAAAAGUGUUAAUGACUUUCACUGUUAACCAGCACACAAGCACACACAUAAACACUCACACAAAUACACACACACUCUCACACACACAUAGACAGACCAGCGGAUGUCAAAGUAUACAUACAGUGACAGUGCUCUGACGGUCUCGUAUUAACUUGUUAUGUUUCUAUAUUUUAUUUGAAUUCUAUUUAUUUCUUCAUUGAUGUAUUUAUUUAUUGAGAACUAGUCAACACUUGACUGAGGCUGGAGCUGACUUUUUACAAAUCCAAAAAAAAGAAGAAGAAUAAGUGCCAGUGCAUGUAGCAAACCUCAUCAUUCAUAUUUAAAAUAUUUAAAAAAAAGUCUGUUUUUGGUUCUCUUGCAAAGUGUGGCAAACCUGAGCUGUUGCUACUAAUACUGUGUCAAGUACAAAAGCUUAUGUUGCAUACUUGCAUGUGUUUAACAGUAUUCAGUGUUGUAUACAGUAUGUAUAAAAAUUGUAGCAACAACGGGACUUAUUUUCAUUCAUUGCGGUAUUCUUGGAAAAAUACCUGGACAUUAUUUCAAUUUGGAUAGAAAGAAAAAAAAUCAUGCUUAAAAAGGGAAUUUAUAUUACUCUACAAGAAAACUCCUCAGAAAGCCUGUAUAUGGAACUGAAAUAUCCAUCGCUUUGGAAAGCUUGUGUGCUGUUCCACUGGCAUUGCCUGCUCAAGCACUGCUGCAUGUGUCUUGAUCAAAAGACAUUGGUCGUAGAGUCUUCACCAAACCGUAUGCCUGGCGUGUGAUAGCAUUUGUGUAGGUUUGUAUGACCUCGGAGCCGAAAAACAAAAAACCUUACAAAAACAAACGGACGAACCAACAAAAGAGAACGGACAACUUCUGUCUUCGUUUUUACAGCAUUCAAGACGGAGAGCCCCGAUCCUCGUGGAAUGAGCUUGUGAUUUCCUAUUCUAUAUUUUGUUGCUCCUGAUGUUUAUCAAUCGGAGAAUGGAAUAUCAACUGCAUGGUGACCCUUCUAGACGAUACUACGGUCUUUAUAACAAGUAUCUUUUACCAGUAUUUUAUAACCUUGUUAAUUUUAUAUAUCCAAUUAACCUUCAACCGGAGCUGGUGUGUUGGCCAGCAGCUAUGGGAGAGCUGUGCUGUAUGUUAAUGUCUGUACCGUGUGCUUGUCUGUGCGUUCUUCUACAUUAGUUUAUUUUUUUGCCUAUUCAAUGUGCAUUAUUUGAACCGUUUUUUCUCACUAUCUUCCCCCCCCCCCUUCGGUUACACUGUGGUUAUUUUAUAGCUUAAACCCAAACACUAUGAUUUAAUUUAUUUUGUAUUUUAUGUCAACUUGUGGC
ensembl:lncRNA